AGCAUUAAAACAAAGAUAUUGAGCAAGGAGGACCCUGAGCAAGCCAUCGACCGAAGAAGGAGUAUCAGGAGCUGGAGUAGCCAUCCGAGCCAGAGGAGGACAAGGUGGGGCCUCCUGUGAAUGAGAAAUUACAAAUCUGCAGGGUAUUCGAACGUCUGUCAACCCCAUGCUGAUGUCGGUGGUGUUUCCUUUUAGUUGUUUUCAACAGUCUGGCUUCGUCUAGUUGUCCGAGGUCCUAUGACCAGUGUCCGAUGUCCUGCUGCUGUGUCCCUGUGUGUUGUAUGUGUCACUUGGGCUAACUGUGCUACACACGGCACCGUGAGAUGGGUACUACAACCUCAUGCUGUCCUUCUCCCUGUCCCUGUCCAUGUCCAUGGCCAAAGCCAAGUCCAAGUCCAGCUGGUAACAUGUGACGAUGGCAAUUUGCAUUUCAGCGGGUGGGUUAGCCUCGUGUUAGCCACUGGGUGACAGACAUUAAAUAAUUAACUCUCAUUUAUCAUUUAUAAGGAUGCAGAGAGCGCCACUCUGCGGAGGGGGAGGCAGCCAGAGUGGGGGCCGGGCUGUCAGGACACAGACAACGCCAAGUAAUCCCCCAAAGAGAACAUUUAACAUACGGACUUCCAGACCCAGAGACAUGCAAAGUGAUUGAGUGGGGACCGGGACUGGGACUGGGACUGUAAUCGGAACAUGUGUAGAGAUAUUUAUUUAACAAACAUUGCGAAAUAUCAAGAGCGAUACCAGAGGCACGCAGUGGCAGUGGCAGUGGCAGUGGCAGGAAAGGAAAAGAAGGGCAAACAGGCGAAGGACAUCGAAGGGAAGGCACAACGACAAUCGAAAUGCGAAUGGAAAAGGAGAUGGGCGGAACACGAUGGCAAAUCAAAGGUGAAAAGAUGUGAAAAGCAAACGGAACGUGCACCGGGAGCAUUUAACCCAUACCCCAGCUUCGAGCAGAGCCCGGGCACCGGCCCGGACCCAGACCCGGACCCGAGACCGUACCCAUUUCCAUUCCCAUAGCCAUAACUCCUCCCGGAGCCGGGAGUAAGCCGCUGUUGGGACACACAUGACGUAUUGGCACGAGUCCCUGAGAAGCGAGUUGCGAGGUCGCAGGAGCUCUGUUCUGUGUGCUCUACCGGCUCCGGCUCCAGCUCCGGCUCCGGGGCACUUGAAAGCCCGGGCGUAUCUUGAUUGUUUGCAUGUAAAUCUGCACAAAAUCCCCAAAGUACCCAAGUACCUAGAGUAUCCAAAGGAAGAGGAGACAGAGACAGAGAGAGAGAGAGAGAGAGAGAGAGAGAGAGAAAGUCCUUGUCGACUGCCACCGCCAUCGCCAUCGCCACCACCUCCGCUAUCCAUCCGACAACUGGCUCUAUGGAUGGAGCCGUCCCCGUAUCGUUACCCUGAUGGAGCCGCUCACCAUCAUCAUCAUCGUCAUGAUGGCCUUGGCGCAUCGCUUCCCAUCGCUCUGUAUCGCUCAGCAUCUCACGGCAUCGGCAUCGGCAUCGUGGCAAUCCCUUGCACAAUUGAACCGAGUCCUGUGUGGGCGAGUUACCUGCUUGAACCGAUCUGUGCCGACUCUGGGAAUACCCUGCAGACACUGCAGAUAUUUACAUAUAUUUGGUAGCUAUAUACAUACAUGUACGACAU
rnacentral:sRNA from 1 species